rnacentral:tRNA from 1 species
GCCCCUAUAGCUCAGUGGAUAGAGCACUGCCCUCCGGAGGCAGGAGCCUGCGUUCGAAUCGCAGUAGGGGCA